CGUGUCUCAUUCCAUUGCUGUUGCGCACCGAAAUUGCACCACGACAAUUAAUUACACGUGUUUUGUAACCUUAUGAACAGAAAAGAAAAGAAUUGUGAAUUUUUUUUAAGGCAUCUAUGACAUUUUAUGUGCCUUAAAUUCCUCAUAUGCACCCCUUCAUUGUGCAAAUACAUUAAAUUCAGCAAGUUGUUUCCAGGAAGGCAGGGAACAUCGUGUUGUCACCUGAAAACAACUCCAAGCUGUAACUAAGACACGAAUUUUCUUAAGAAUGUUAAUAGUAAGUCAACGAAUUGAGUAAAAUUUUUCAUAUAAAUAUCAAUGUCUCAUUAGAAAUCGAAUUUAGUUCAAUUUGUCAACUAAAAUCAAUCUAAAAUGAUGAAAUUCUGGGCUAUUGCCUUCCUCAUUGCCUUUGCAGCUUUGGGUACGACUUUCGCUGCUCCUGUAGCUGAUCCUGAGGCAAAUCCUGUUCCAGUAGCAGAGGCUAAACCUUAUGAUUAUUAUUAUUGUUCUUUGGUUGAUUUUAUGGAUCCUGCUUGCUGGUGGUAUUUCCUUUACUAAACAUUUAAAAUAAUAAAUCUGUAUUUCAUCGCAACAAA